AGAGUUUGAUCCUGGCUCAGAUUGAACGCUGGCGGCAGGCUUAACACAUGCAAGUCGAGCGGAGUGAUGGUGCUUGCACUAUCACUUAGCGGCGGACGGGUGAGUAAUGCUUAGGAAUCUGCCUAUUAGUGGGGGACAACAUUUCGAAAGGAAUGCUAAUACCGCAUACGUCCUACGGGAGAAAGCAGGGGAUCUUCGGACCUUGCGCUAAUAGAUGAGCCUAAGUCGGAUUAGCUAGUUGGUGGGGUAAAGGCCUACCAAGGCGACGAUCUGUAGCGGGUCUGAGAGGAUGAUCCGCCACACUGGGACUGAGACACGGCCCAGACUCCUACGGGAGGCAGCAGUGGGGAAUAUUGGACAAUGGGCGCAAGCCUGAUCCAGCCAUGCCGCGUGUGUGAAGAAGGCCUUAUGGUUGUAAAGCACUUUAAGCGAGGAGGAGGCUACUGAAGUUAAUACCUUCAGAUAGUGGACGUUACUCGCAGAAUAAGCACCGGCUAACUCUGUGCCAGCAGCCGCGGUAAUACAGAGGGUGCAAGCGUUAAUCGGAUUUACUGGGCGUAAAGCGCGCGUAGGCGGCUAAUUAAGUCAAAUGUGAAAUCCCCGAGCUUAACUUGGGAAUUGCAUUCGAUACUGGUUAGCUAGAGUGUGGGAGAGGAUGGUAGAAUUCCAGGUGUAGCGGUGAAAUGCGUAGAGAUCUGGAGGAAUACCGAUGGCGAAGGCAGCCAUCUGGCCUAACACUGACGCUGAGGUGCGAAAGCAUGGGGAGCAAACAGGAUUAGAUACCCUGGUAGUCCAUGCCGUAAACGAUGUCUACUAGCCGUUGGGGCCUUUGAGGCUUUAGUGGCGCAGCUAACGCGAUAAGUAGACCGCCUGGGGAGUACGGUCGCAAGACUAAAACUCAAAUGAAUUGACGGGGGCCCGCACAAGCGGUGGAGCAUGUGGUUUAAUUCGAUGCAACGCGAAGAACCUUACCUGGCCUUGACAUAGUAAGAACUUUCCAGAGAUGGAUUGGUGCCUUCGGGAACUUACAUACAGGUGCUGCAUGGCUGUCGUCAGCUCGUGUCGUGAGAUGUUGGGUUAAGUCCCGCAACGAGCGCAACCCUUUUCCUUAUUUGCCAGCGAGUAAUGUCGGGAACUUUAAGGAUACUGCCAGUGACAAACUGGAGGAAGGCGGGGACGACGUCAAGUCAUCAUGGCCCUUACGGCCAGGGCUACACACGUGCUACAAUGGUCGGUACAAAGGGUUGCUACCUAGCGAUAGGAUGCUAAUCUCAAAAAGCCGAUCGUAGUCCGGAUUGGAGUCUGCAACUCGAUUCCAUGAAGUCGGAAUCGCUAGUAAUCGCGGAUCAGAAUGCCGCGGUGAAUACGUUCCCGGGCCUUGUACACACCGCCCGUCACACCAUGGGAGUUUGUUGCACCAGAAGUAGGUAGUCUAACCGCAAGGAGGACGCUUACCACGGUGUGGCCGAUGACUGGGGUGAAGUCGUAACAAGGUAGCCG
rnacentral:rRNA from 1 species